GACGAACGCUGGCGGCGUGCUUAACACAUGCAAGUCGAACGAUGAAGCCUAGCUUGCUAGGUAGAUUAGUGGCGAACGGGUGAGUAAUACGUGAGUAACCUACCUUUAACUCUGGGAUAAGCCCGGGAAACUGGGUCUAAUACCGGAUACGACCAAUCUCCGCAUGGGGUGUUGGUGGAAAGCGUUAUGUAGUGGUUAUAGAUGGGCUCACGGCCUAUCAGCUUGUUGGUGAGGUAACGGCUCACCAAGGCGACGACGGGUAGCCGGCCUGAGAGGGUGACCGGCCACACUGGGACUGAGACACGGCCCAGACUCCUACGGGAGGCAGCAGUGGGGAAUAUUGCACAAUGGGCGCAAGCCUGAUGCAGCGACGCCGCGUGAGGGAUGACGGCCUUCGGGUUGUAAACCUCUGUUAGCAGGGAAGAAGAGAGAUUGACGGUACCUGCAGAGAAAGCGCCGGCUAACUACGUG
rnacentral:rRNA from 1 species